UCGAACGAAGUAGCAAUACUUAGUGGCAGACGGGUGAGUAACAUGUAGGUAUCUGCCCUUUGGCCUGGAAUAACACGAGGAAACUUGUGCUAAUACUGGAUAAGUCUUCACGGAGAAAGCUUUAUGCACCAAUGGAUGAGCCUGCACUUGAUUAGUUUGUUGGUGGGGUAAUGGCCUACCAAGACUUUGAUCAAUAGCUGAUUUGAGAGGAUGAUCAGCCACAUUGGGACUGAGACACGGCCCAAACUCCUACGGGAGGCAGCAGUGGGGAAUCUUGCACAAUGGAGGAAACUCUGAUGCAGCGAUGCCGCGUGAGUGAAGAAGGCCCUUGGGUUGUAAAGCUCUUUCGUCGGGGAAGAAAAUGACUGUACCCGAAUAAGAAGGUCCGGCUAACUUCGUGCCAGCAGCCGCGGUAAUACGAAGGGACCUAGCGUAGUUCGGAAUUACUGGGCUUAAAGAGUUCGUAGGUGGUUGAAAAAGUUGGUGGUGAAAUCCCAGAGCUUAACUCUGGAACUGCCAUCAAAACUUUUCAGCUAGAGUAUGAUAGAGGAAAGCAGAAUUUCUAGUGUAGAGGUGAAAUUCGUAGAUAUUAGAAAGAAUACCAAUUGCGAAGGCAGCUUUCUGGAUCAUUACUGACACUGAGGAACGAAAGCAUGGGUAGCGAAGAGGAUUAGAUACCCUCGUAGUCCAUGCCGUAAACGAUGUGUGUUAGACGUUGGAAAUUUAUUUUCAGUGUCGCAGCAAAAGCGAUAAACACACCGCCUGGGGAGUACGACCGCAAGGUUAAAACUCAAAUGAAUUGACGGGGACCCGCACAAGUAGCGGAGCGUGUGGUUU
rnacentral:rRNA from 1 species